rnacentral:ncRNA from 2 species
AGUUCGGACUCUGGAGAGCGGCAGUAGCCACGUGCGCGAGCAUCGGCAGGCUGCCCACCGAAGGGGCGCGCGCAGGCCGGCAACGGCGGCGCAAUCUCUCAGGUAUCGAGGACAGAGGGGCUGCA